ACCAUAGAGACCUCAGGAAAACCCUAAACCUCCCCUCCAAUGCGCGCGUUUUCGUCGUCGACAGCCACCGCCCCAUCCACCUCUGCAACCUCAGCGACCAAAAUGACGUCGUUGUGGUUCUCUUCACUAAAGAAGACGAAGGACAAUCCGAUCUUUCUUAUGAUUUCGACCUCACCACACUCGCCAAUGCCGCCACCACCGUCAAUUCUGAUUUCGAUUCCGAAUCUGAGUUCGAAUCGGAUUCCAACUCUGGCUCCGAGAGAUUGAGUGACGAGAGGUACCAUGAUGGAGUCAUGGAGCUCGAGCAGCACAUAAACAGUUCUGGUAACCUGGAUAUGGUUACUUCGGUUACUCUCAAGGAUGGUACCAAGAUUCGUGCCCCAAAUUCUUUGCGAAUUACUUAUGAGAACCAGCCGAGGCUUAUGUUGUUGCAGGAGUGGAGCCUCUUUGACUCCAUGAUGUGCUCCUCGUACAUUGCCACCAAGUUGAAGAUGUGGAGUGAGAACAGGAUAAAGAAGCUGAAGCUUCUAUUCGGGACGAUGGGGUUUGCUCUUGGUGAUUGCUAGAAGAAGUUUCAGCACAUGAAUUUGGAGGUGAAAAAAUUGUAUUUUCUAAAAAAAUAUGUUUUUUAAAACUUUGUUAACUUUAUUAUAUAAGUGUAUUUUUGUUAAGCUUCGUUAUUCUUAAUCGUCAUAUUGUUCGUUAUGCUGGCAAGCGUAUAUAAUAAUGAUAUUUUUUUUUAUUCACAGCAAGCAUAAGUGCGUACGUGCGUCCAUGGCAGUUUUUUUAGUUGCUAGCUGCUUAAUUACAUAUGUUCUGCAUAUUAUAUAUUAUAUAUUGAUUAUUAAUGGUUGGUGUAGUGUGUUCGUAUGCAAUCCUAGGAGUUUUUUCAUCUUGUUAUCACUAGUGUUGCGAUAAUCUGUUAUAUACUGCAACGCCCCUCCCACAUCUUAUCCAUAUCUUGGCAAGCGCAUAUAAUAAUGAUAUUUUUUUAUUCACAGCAUGCAUAAAUGCGUACGUGCGUCCAUGGCAGUUUUUUUAGUUGCUACCUACUUAAUUACAUAUGUUCUGCAUAUUAUAUAUUAUAUAUUGAUUAUUGAUGGUUGGUGUAGUGUGUUCGUAUGCAAUCCUAGGAGUUUUUUUCAUCUUGUUAUUAUAUAAGUGUAUUCUUUUAAGCUUCGGUAUUCUAAACAAAAUGAUAUUUGGAGUGCUGGCGUCAUAUUGUUCAUUUUGCUCUCUGGUGUCCCUCCCUUCUGGUCAGAAAAGGAACAGGGUAUAUUUGAUGCUAUUCUUCGUGGCCAUAUUGAUUUCGCAUCAGAUCCUUGGCCUUCCAUAUCAAGUAUUGCCAAAGAUCUGGUUAAGAAGAUGUUACAAGCUGACCCCAAACAAAGACUCUCUGCAGUUGAAGUUCUUAAUCAUCCUUGGAUGAGAGAAGAUGGAGCAUCUGAUAAACCUCGAUCUAGAUGUUGCUGUUUUAUCCAGAAUGAAACAAUUUAGGGCAAUGAACAAGCUAAAUAAAGUUGCUCUAAAGUUUAUCUUUGGGAGUUCUCAAUCUUGCAAUUGUGGUACCACAGGUUAGAACCCACUUACUCAUAUAUUAACAGCUUGAAAGUUAGGACUGGCCUAUUAUGUCGUUAUCGUUCUCCAGAAUAUUAAUAGCUUGAAAGUACAAGACCAAGAGUUUUAAUUGUGAAUUAAGAGGCAUUUUUGCCUAUUAUUGUUGUUUGGUUGAGAAAUAAAAUUGAUCAUUUUUAAGAUGUGCACUGCACUACUCAUCAUAUAACUAUAGGCUUUCCAAUUUUCCCUGGUUCCUAUUAGAUCUCUUAGCACGUGCUAGUCCUUCAUAAGGUUUUUGGAAGCCAUUAUAAGAAUUUUAUAAACCUAUCAUAUCAUUACUAAUGGCCUUAGCUGAUGAUAGAUUCCAUUUUUUGCUGGGUUUAAUUAAAAUACAUUUAAACUAGUGUAUUUUUCCUUUCCUCUUGUAAUAUCCAUAGUAAUGCCUAAAAUUAAAUACAUUCAUUAUGAAAUAUAAAAAUGAAGUUAAGACACCAUCUAAUGCUUUUUGCCUCAUUCCUUAUUAUUUUAUAUCAAAAUGAAUUUCAGUUUUUUUGGAUGAUUGUCCCAUAUCCCAUUUAUUGCAAGGACCUUCUAAAUUUAGUUUAGCAACAUAUCGAGUGAAUUAGUGCCAAUACAUAUUCCCUUCUAGCAUACUUGUUCAUGUUAGAUUGUGAUAUAACAACAUGUGCUUACAAUGUAUCCAACAACUAGUAUUAUAUACUAGGAGGGAAGUUUAUAGGACUGGCUUAAUUGUUUGGCAAAGACAGAUAAGGAGAGGACACUUGAGGAAAGAUGUUGCGGCUGAUAGAGAAUCAUGAUCGCGUAGUCAGGAGAUGUGGAUGGAAUCGAGCACCAUGUUGACGAUGCUCAAGUUGAUCAUUGACUCUUGGCUAUUGUUUUAAUUUGAUUAUGUCAUGUUAGUUAUGAAUUUAAACUAUAUUAAACUUUCACAUUGCAUUUUAUUGAACUUUGCAUUUGCACUUUAUCAAUAUUUAAUUAGAACUUUGUUAUUAGAUGUAUUUACAUAUUAUGAAUGUUCACUUUUAUA